rnacentral:rRNA from 1 species
UACGAAGGGGGCUAGCGUUGCUCGGAAUUACUGGGCGUAAAGGGCGCGUAGGCGGAUAGUUUAGUCAGAGGUGAAAGCCCAGGGCUCAACCUUGGAACUGCCUUUGAUACUGGCUAUCUUGAGUUCGGGAGAGGUGAGUGGAAUGCCGAGUGUAGAGGUGAAAUUCGUAGAUAUUCGGCGGAACACCGGUGGCGAAGGCGACUCACUGGCCCGAUACUGACGCUGAGGCGCGAAAGCGUGGGGAGCGAACGGG